rnacentral:rRNA from 1 species
GUCUAUGGCCAUACCACCCAGAACACGCCUGACCUCGGAAGCUAAGCAGGUUUGGGCCUGGUUAGUACUUAGAUGGGAGACCGCCUGGGAAUAAUGGGUGCUGUAGGCU